GAUGAACGCUGGCGGCGUGCCUAAUACAUGCAAGUCGAGCGAAUGGAUUAAGAGCUUGCUCUUAUGAAGUUAGCGGCGGACGGGUGAGUAACACGUGGGUAACCUGCCCAUAAGACUGGGAUAACUACGGGAAACCGGGGCUAAUACCGGAUAACAUUUUGAACCGCAUGGUUCGAAAUUGAAAGGCGGCUUCGGCUGUCACUUAUGGAUGGACCCGCGGCGCAUUAGCUAGUUGGUGAGGUAACGGCUCACCAAGGCAACGAUGCGUAGCCAACCUGAGAGGGUGAUCGGCCACACUGGGACUGAGACACGGCCCAGACUCCUACGGGAGGCAGCAGUAGGGAAUCUUCCGCAAGGGACGAAAGUCUGACGGAGCAACGCCGCGUGAGUGAUGAAGGCUUUCGGGUCGUAAAACUCUGUUGUUAGGGAAGAACAAGUGCUAGUUGAAUAAGCUGGCACCUUGGCGGUACCUAACCAGAAAGCCACGGCUAACUACGUGCCAGCCGCCGCGGUAA
rnacentral:rRNA from 1 species